UUCGGUACAUCGGUGACAGGUGGUGCAUGGUUGUCGUCAGCUCGUGUCGUGAGAUGUGGGUUAAGUCCCGCAACGAGCGCAACCCUUGUCUUUAGUUGCCAUCAUUAAGUUGGGCACUCUAAAGAGACUGCCGAUGACAAAUCGGAGGAAGGUGGGGAUGACGUCAAAUCAUCAUGCCCUUUAUGUCCUGGGCUACACACGUGCUACAAUGGUCGGUACAACGAGAAGCAAGCCAGCGAUGGCAAGCAAAUCUCUAAAAGCCGAUCCCAGUUCGGAUUGCAGGCUGCAACUCGCCUGCAUGAAGUCGGAGUUGCUAGUAAUCGCGGAUCAGAAUGCCGCGGUGAAUGCGUUCCCGGGUCUU
rnacentral:rRNA from 2 species